AGGAGCCGUAUGAGGUGAGAGCUUCACGUACGGUUCUGUGAGCGGCUGGAGGGGGCGGUUCCCUCCGGUCUACUCGA
rnacentral:ncRNA from 2 species